AAAAAAUGUGGUAUAGUCUUUCCGCCUCAGGUCGCCGCCCGAGAGGAGCCUCCGCCAUGUCUGCGCAUCUGCAAUGGAUGGUCGUGCGGAACUGCUCCAGUUUCCUGAUCAAGAAGAACAAGCAGAUCUAUAGCACCGAGCCCAAUAACUUGAAGGCCCACAACUCCUUCCGCUACAACGGGCUGAUUCACCGCAAGACUGUGGGCUUGGAGCUGGCAGCUGAUGGCAAGGGUGUAGUGGUGGUCAUGAAAUGGAGAUCCGGCCAGCGGAAGCCUCCUACGUGCGGACUACCAUCAACAAGAGUGAUCGCCCCACGCUUAGCAGCAUCAGACACAUGAUAUGCAAGAACAAGUACCAGCCCGACCUACGCAUGGCAGCUAUCCGCAGGGCUAGCGCCAUCCUGCGCAGCCAGAAGCCUGUGAUGGUGAAGAGGAAGCGCACCUGCCCCACCAAGAGCUCCUGAGCCCCCGGCUCCCAAAGCAAUAGUCAGCUGACCUUCUCAAAAAAAAAAAAAA